CAAUAGCGUAUAUUAAAGUUGUUGCAGUUAAAAAGCUCGUAGUUGGAUUUCUACCGAAGAUAGCCGGUCGGGUCUUCGACCUUGUAUCUGGUUUUGUCUUUGGUAUCCUCAUAGGGAACGUUUCUGCGCUUUAUUGCGUGGUGCGGUAUCUAUGACUUUUACUUUGAGGAAAUUAGAGUGUUCACGGCAGGCAAACGCCUUGAAUAUAUUAGCAUGGAAUAAUAACAUAGGAUCUUCGUCCUAUUUUGUUGGUUUCUAGGGCUAAGAUAAUGAUUAAUAGGGAUAAUUGGGGGCAUCUGUAUCAACGCGUCAGAGGUGGAAUUCUUGGAUUGCGUUGCGACAAACUACUGCGAAAGCAUUUGCCAAGGAUGUUUUCAUUGA
rnacentral:rRNA from 1 species